UGCAGUGUGGCUCAGUGGAAAGAGCAUGGGCUUGGGAGUCAAUAGUCAUGGGUUUGAAUCCCAGCUCUGCCA
rnacentral:tRNA from 1 species